rnacentral:rRNA from 1 species
AUACGGGGGGGGCAAGCGUUGUUCGGAAUUACUGGGCGUAAAGGGCGCGUAGGCGGUUUCGGAAGUCAAGGGUGAAAGCCCCGAGCUCAACUCGGGAAUUGCCUUUGAAACCACGGAACUAGAGUGUUGGAGAGGAAAGCGGAAUUUCCAGUGUAGCGGUGAAAUGCGUAGAUAUUGGAAGGAACAUCUGAGGCGAAGGCGGCUUUCUGGACAGACACUGACGCUGAGGCGCGAAAGCCAGGGGAGCGAACGGGAUUAGAUACCCCGGUAGUCCUGGCUGUAAACGAUGAACACUUGGUGUGGGGGGUAUAAAGUCCCUCCGUGCCGUAGAUAACUCGAUAAGUGUUCCGCCUGGGGAGUACGGCCGCAAGGCUGAA